CUUCUUUCAUUCUUAUCUACUAAUAUGCUCUAUUGUCUCUAGGUGGCACAAUUUUGGGAUAUGUUUGUGAGAAUUUUAAUUUGCCAUGAUGUUUGCAGCUCAAAUCCAAGCACGAAUGCUGCAAGGAUACUGAGGUGCAUAUCAUCCAAGCAAUGACUUACCUUUGUGACAUAGAUCUCCAACCAAUAUCUCGACUAAAAGCGGAAAGAUUGCCCGGAUGGCCACUCGAGCUUUACGGGAAAAGCUUAGUGAGAAUUGUGGUUCUGAGAACCACAAACCUAAGAGAAGAAG